rnacentral:rRNA from 1 species
UACGGGGGGGGGCAAGCGUUGUUCGGAAUUACUGGGCGUAAAGGGCUCGUAGGCGGCCAACUAAGUCGGACGUGAAAUCCCUCGGCUUAACCGGGGAACUGCGUCCGAUACUGGAUGGCUUGAGUUCGGGAGAGGGAUGCGGAAUUCCAGGUGUAGCGGUGAAAUGCGUAGAUAUCUGGAGGAACACCGGUGGCGAAGGCGGCAUCCUGGACCGACACUGACGCUGAGGAGCGAAAGCCAGGGGAGCAAACGGGAUUAAGAAACCCU